rnacentral:rRNA from 1 species
CGCUGGCGGCGUGCCUAACACAUGCAAGUCGAACGAAGCACUGUAGAAGGAGACUUCGGUUGAAUUCUGCUUUGACUUAGUGGCGGACGGGUGAGUAAUGCGUGAGCAACCUGCCUUUCAGAGGGGGACAACAGUUGGAAACGACUGCUAAUACCGCAUGAUGUACCGAGGGGGCAUCCCUUUGGUACCAAAGAUUUUAUCGCUGAAAGAUGGGCUCACGUCUGAUUAGUUAGUUGGUGAGGUAACGGCUCACCAAGACUGCGAUCAGUAGCCGGACUGAGAGGUUGAACGGCCACAUUGGGACUGAGACACGGCCCAGACUCCUACGGGAGGCAGCAGUGGGGGAUAUUGCGCAAUGGGGGCAACCCUGACGCAGCAACGCCGCGUGAAUGAAGAAGGUUUUCGGAUCGUAAAGUUCUUUAAGUGUGGAAGAAGAUGACGGUACACACAGAAUAAGCCACGGCUAACUACGUG